UACAGAGGUCUCAAGCGUUGUUCGGAUUCAUUGGGCGUAAAGGGCGCGCAGGUGGCUCUGUAUGUCUGCCGUGAAAGCAUACAGCUCAACUGUAUUGUGUCGGUAGAAACUGCAGGACUUGAGGCUGGGAGGGGCUGGUGGAAUUCCCUGUGUAGCGGUGAAAUGCGUAGAGAUGGGGGAGAACACUCGUGGCGAAGGCGGCCAGCUAGACCAGUUCUGACACUGAGGCGCGACAGCGUGGGGAGCAAACAGG
rnacentral:rRNA from 1 species